rnacentral:rRNA from 1 species
UACGUAGGGUGCAAGCGUUAAUCGGAAUUACUGGGCGUAAAGCGUGCGCAGGCGGUUUUGUAAGUCUGACGUGAAAUCCCCGGGCUCAACCUGGGAAUUGCGUUGGAGACUGCAAGGCUGGAGUCUGGCAGAGGGGGGUAGAAUUCCACGUGUAGCAGUGAAAUGCGUAGAGAUGUGGAGGAACACCGGAUGGCGCAAGGCUAGCCCCCUGGGUCAAGACGCUGAGCUCAGCACGAAAGCGUGGG